UGCCAGCCGCCGCGGUAAUACGAAGGGGGCUAGCGUUGUUCGGAAUUACUGGGCGUAAAGCGCACGUAGGCGGGUUAUCAAGUUGGAGGUGAAAUCCCGGAGCUCAACUUCGGAACUGCCUUCAAAACUGAUAGCCUAGAGGAUAGGAGAGGUCAGUGGAAUACCGAGUGUAGAGGUGAAAUUCGUAGAUAUUCGGUGGAACACCAGUGGCGAAGGCGACUGACUGGACUAUUUCUGACGCUGAGGUGCGAAAGCGUGGGGAGCAAACAGGAUUAGAUA
rnacentral:rRNA from 1 species